GUGCCAGCAGCCGCGGUAAGACGAACCGUGCGAACGUUAUUCGGAAUCACUGGGCUUAAAGCGUGCGUAGGCGGCUCAGAAAGUUGGGUGUGAAAUACCUCGGCUCAACCGAGGAAUUGCGCUCAAAACUACUGGGCUUGAGGGAGUUAGAGGUGAGCGGAACUAAUGGUGGAGCGGUGAAAUGCGUUGAUAUCAUUAGGAACACCGGUGGCGAAAGCGGCUCACUGGGGCUCUGCUGACGCUGAGGCACGAAAGCUAGGGGAGCGAACGGGAUUAGAUACCCGCGUAGUCC
rnacentral:rRNA from 1 species